UUUAAUUCAUCUAACCAAUCAGAUGUUUUCGUCUUAUUUAUCUCUCUCGUCCCUCUUGUUCCCUCUCUUCUCCUAAUUCAACAUGUUCUUUCUCUCUCUUUCGGAACACCAUUGUUGCGGACGUGCUUUUACAUUUGAUUCAGUUCGUACUCAACACUACAUUUUUUGUCCGGCAAGAGCCCGCCAGACUUGACUUUGAUUCUAUACAUUACUCCUUUACUUGAAAUCGUACAUACAUGAUGACAG
rnacentral:lncRNA from 1 species